GGAGGUGUGUGGGUGCCUGGUGGCCCUCCUGGUCUUCAACACCAGUGGGCGGCGCGACGCGUCGUCGGCGGGUUCGAUUCCCGUCCACCUCCGCCA
rnacentral:tRNA from 1 species